rnacentral:rRNA from 1 species
AAUAGAUACCCCGGUAGUCCACGCCGUAAACGAUGUCGACUUGGAGGUUGUGCCCUUGAGGCGUGGCUUCCGGAGCUAACGCGUUAAGUCGACCGCCUGGGGAGUACGGCCGCAAGGUUAAAACUCAAAUGAAUUGACGGGGGGCCCGCACAAGCGGUGGAGCAUGUGGUUUAAUUCGAUGCAACGCGAAGAACCUUACCUACUCUUGACAUCCAGAGAACUUAGCAGAGAUGCUUUGGUGCCUUCGGGAACUCUGAGACAGGUGCUGCAUGGCUGUCGUCAGCUCGUGUUGUGAAAUGUUGGGUUAAGUCCCGCAACGAGCGCAACCCUUAUCCUUUGUUGCCAGCGGUUCGGCCGGGAACUCAAAGGAGACUGCCAGUGAUAAACUGGAGGAAGGUGGGGAUGACGUCAAGUCAUCAUGGCCCUUACGAGUAGGGCUACACACGUGCUACAAUGGCAUAUACAAAGAGAAGCGACCUCGCGAGAGCAAGCGGACCUCAUAAAGUAUGUCGUAGUCCGGA